rnacentral:rRNA from 1 species
CUACGGGAGGCAGCAGUAGGGAAUCUUCCGCAAUGGACGAAAGUCUGACGGAGCAACGCCGCGUGAACGAAGAAGGCCUUCGGGUCGUAAAGUUCUGUUGUUAGGGAAGAACAAGUACCAGAGUAACUGCUGGUACCUUGACGGUACCUAACCAGAAAGCCACGGCUAACUACGUGCCAGCAGCCGCGGUAAUA